AGAGUUUGAUCAUGGCUCAGAUUGAACGCUGGCGGCAGGCUUAACACAUGCAAGUCGAGCGGGGAGAUGUAGCUUGCUACAUUUCCUAGCGGCGGACGGGUGAGUAAUGCUUAGGAAUCUGCCUAUUAGUGGGGGACAACAUUCCGAAAGGAAUGCUAAUACCGCAUACGCCCUACGGGAGAAAGCAGGGGACCUUCGGGCCUUGCGCUAUCAGAUGAGCCUAGGUCGGAUUAGCUAGUAGGUGAGGUAAUGGCUCACCUAGGCGACGAUCCGUAACUGGUCUGAGAGGAUGAUCAGUCACACUGGAACUGAGACACGGUCCAGACUCCUACGGGAGGCAGCAGUGGGGAAUAUUGGACAAUGGGNGAAAGCCUGAUCCAGCCWUGCCGCGWGUGUGAAGAAGGCCUUUUGGUUGUAAAGCACUUUAMGCGGGGAGGAGGCUCUUCUAGUU
rnacentral:rRNA from 1 species